rnacentral:rRNA from 1 species
GAGGCAGCAGUGAGGAAUAUUGGUCAAUGGACGAGAGUCUGAACCAGCCAAGUAGCGUGAAGGAUGACUGCCCUAUGGGUUGUAAACUUCUUUUAUANGGGAAUAAAGUNGUNCACGUGUNGAUUUUUGUAUGUACCAUAUGAAUAAGGAUCGGCUAACUCCGUGCCAGCAGCCGCGGUAAUACGGAGGAUCCGAGCGUUAUCCGGAUUUAUUGGGUUUAAAGGGAGCGUAGGUGGACAGUUAAGUCAGUUGUGAAAGUUUGCGGCUCAACCGUAAAAUUGCAGUUGAUACUGGCUGUCUUGAGUNCAGUNGAGGNGGGCGGAAUUCGUGGUGUAGCGGUGAAAUGCUUAGAUAUCACGAAGAACUCCGAUUGCGAAGGCAGCU